UACAGAGGUCCCAAGCGUUGUUCGGAUUCACUGGGCGUAAAGGGUGCGUAGGUGGUGAGGUAAGUCGGAUGUGAAAUCUCCGAACUCAACUCGGAAAUGGCAUUGGAAACUGCCUUGCUCGAGGGUUGGAGGGGGGACUGGAAUGCUUGGUGUAGCAGUGAAAUGCGUAGAUAUCAAGCGGAACACCAGUGGCGAAGGCGAGUCCCUGGACAACUCCUGACACUGAGGCACGAAAGCCAGGGGAGCAAACGGG
rnacentral:rRNA from 1 species